rnacentral:rRNA from 1 species
UACGAAGGGGGCUAGCGUUGCUCGGAAUCACUGGGCGUAAAGCGCACGUAGGCGGAUUGUUAAGUCAGGGGUGAAAUCCUGGAGCUCAACUCCAGAACUGCCUUUGAUACUGGCGAUCUUGAGUCCGGAAGAGGUGAGUGGAACUCCGAGUGUAGAGGUGAAAUUCGUAGAUAUUCGGAAGAACACCAGUGGCGAAGGCGGCUCUCUGGACCGGUUCUGACGCUCAGGCGCGAAAGCGUGGGGAGCGAUCCGG